UACAGAGGGGGCAAGCGUUGUUCGGAAUUACUGGGCGUAAAGGGCGCGUAGGCGGCCUUCUAAGUCGAACGUGAAAUCCCCGGGCUCAACCCGGGAACUGCGUCCGAUACUGGAAGGCUUGAAUCCGGGAGAGGGAUGUGGAAUUCCAGGUGUAGCGGUGAAAUGCGUAGAUAUCUGGAGGAACACCGGUGGCGAAGGCGGGUUGCUGGGCCGACACUGACGCUGAUGCGCGAAAGCCAGGGGAGCGAACGGG
rnacentral:rRNA from 1 species